GGCAGGGAAUCUGUGGCUCAGUGGCAGGGAAUCUGCUUGGUGUGCAAAAGGCCCUGGGUUCAAUACCCAGCCUCUCCA
rnacentral:tRNA from 1 species